GCGCCCGGCGGGGUUGUAGGACCGUCAACGAAGUGGAGUAAGAAGGUUAGCUGAAGUGUCUGGGAAGGCACGGCAUAGAGGGUUAGACCCCCGUAGGCGAAAACUGGAAGACCCGCGAGACGGCACCUGAGUAGGGCGGGACACGUGGAACCCCGUCUGAAUCUGGGGGGACCUCCCUCCAAGGCUAAAUAUUACCCGGAGACCGAUAGUGAACCAGUACCGUGAGGGAAAGGUGAAAAGCACCUCGAACAGAGGAGUGAAAUAGUUCCUGAAACCUUGUGUCUACAAGCAGUGGAAGCCCUUCGGGGCGACCGCGUGCCUUUUGCAUAAUGAGCCAACGAGUUGUCCGUCGGCGGCCAGGUUAAGCCUCUGGUGUAGCCGUAGCGAAAGCGAGUCUGAAUAGGGCAUUCAGUCGCCGGCGACAGACCCGAAACCGAGUGAUCUAUCCCUGUCCAGGUUGAAGCCUGGGUAAGACCAGGUGGAGGACCGAACCAAUGUGCCUUAAAAAGUGCUUGGAUGAGGUGGGGAUAGGAGUGAAAGGCUAAUCAAACUCGGAGAUAGCUGGUUCUCCCCGAAACCUAUUUAGGUAGGGCCUCGUGGUAGGCCGCCGGAGGUAGAGCACUGGAUGGACUAGGGCCCCCACCAGGGUACCAAACCCAACCAAACUACGAAUGCCGGUAAGUCGUUCCGCGGGAGUCAGACGGCGGGAGCUAACUUUCGUCGUCGAAAGGGAAACAACCCAGACCGUCAGCUAAGGCCCCCAAGUCAUGGCUAAGUGGGAAAGGAAGUGGGAACGCCCAGACAACCAGGAGGUUAGCUUAGAAGCAGCUACCCUUUAAAGAAAGCGUAAUAGCUCACUGGUCAAGCGGGCCUGCACCGAAAAUAUAACGGGGCUUAAGCCAUGCGCCGAAGCUGCGGAUCGUCCUUCGGGACGAUGGUAGGGGAGCGUUCCCCGUGCGGAGAAGCUGUGGUGAGAACCAUGGUGGAGCGCGGGGAAGUGAGGAUGUUGGCAUGAGUAACGAAAAUGCGGGCGAGAAACCCGCACGCCGAAAGUCCAAGGGUUCCUGGGCCAGGUUAAUCCGCCCAGGGUUAGUCGGCACCUAAGGCGAGGCCGAAAGGCGUAGUCGAAGGAAAACCGGUUCAUAUUCCGGUACUUGCGGUGACGCGUGAUGGAGGGACGCAGGAGGAUAGGUCGGCCGGGUGAUGGAUGUCCCGGUUUAAGGCGGUAGCCGGAAGCUCUAGGCAAAUCCGGAGCUUCAACGGCGAGAGCUGAUGACGAGAGGCUUUGCCUCACAAAGCGAUUGAUUCCACACUGCCAAGAAAAGCUUCUAAGCAUAGUCACGGCAAACCGUACCCCAAACCGACACAGGUGGACAGGUAGAGAAUACCAAGGCGCUUGAGAGAAACCAUGUUAAGGAACUCUGCAAAUUAACUCCGUACCUUUGGAAGAAGGAGUGCCCACAAAGUGAAGGGGCUUGCCCCCGGAGCUUAGCUGGGUCGCAGUGACCAGGCCUGGCCGACUGUUUAGCAAAAACAUAGCACUCUGCAAACUCGCAAGAGGAAGUAUAGGGUGUGACGCCUGCCCGGUGCCGGAAGGUUAACAGGAGAGGUCAGCUUCGGCGAAGCCUCGAAUCGAAGCCCCGGUAAACGGCGGCCGUAACUAUAACGGUCCUAAGGUAGCGAAAUUCCUUGUCGGGUAAGUUCCGACCUGCACGAAUGGCGUAACGAUCCGGGCGCUGUCUCAACGUGGUUCUCAGUGAAAUUGAAAUAGCGGUGAAGAUACCGUUAACCCGCAGCAAGACGGAAAGACCCCGUGAACCUUUACUGCAGCUUGGCAGUGGAUUCGGGAAGAGCUUGUGUAGGAUAGGUGGGAGGCUUAGAAGUCGGUGCGCCAGCGCCGGUGGAGCCGUCCUUGAAAUACCACCCUGGUUUUUUCGGAAUUCUAACCUCGUCCCGUGAUCCGGGACAGGGACCCUGCCUGGUGGGCGGUUUGACUGGGGCGGUCGCCUCCCAAAGCGUAACGGAGGCGCGCAAUGGUUCCCUCAGAGUGAUUGGAAACCACUCGUAGAGUGCAAAGGCAUAAGGGAGCCUGACUGCGAGAGAGACAUCUCAAGCAGGGACGAAAGUCGGUCUUAGUGAUCCGGUGGUUCCUUGAGGAAGGGCCAUCGCUCAACGGAUAAAAGGUACUCCGGGGAUAACAGG
rnacentral:rRNA from 1 species